AGAGAAAUUUAGAUGCCAUGAAGUUAGUGGAUAUUUGAUGAAGUAAAACAAUGCCCUAAACCUAUCCUUUAUCGAGAUAGAUGAUCACCAACCAGAUAACUUCGGAUGACUAGUGAUGAAGGUGGUCUAGGACAUCCGAUCUGAUCUACACUUGAUGCAUAAUCUAGAUAUUCCUAUAUCCCAAUCUAUCGAAUAGAGGUCUUAAAUCAAGACUUGAAUUUUCAAUAUAAUUGAUCAUACCUUCUAUAUAGGAUCUCCCAAAAUCAGUUAUAAUCCAUAAGGUGGAGC
rnacentral:lncRNA from 1 species